UAAAUUACAAAGCACAUGUUUUCUAUUUUUCUCAUUUGCGCAGGUUUGCUAACAAUAAAGCAGGAAUUUUUUUUUUAUGGAAGCAAUCCCCCUUCGACAGCUAAAGAAGAUAACACUGCUAACCAGAGCGUAACCAAUUGCUUUGCUGAGGAUAAAACAAACCAGGACAGCAAUAUAAAACCAAGUAAAAGGCAGAAACAUUCAUCUGAGCCUAAAACUGUGAAUGCUUUUCAACGGGUGAGGCUGGAGGAUGUCAAAUUUGCAGAUGAGAGACUUCAGGAUAACUCUUAUUGGGCUAAGGGUGGUGGAGAAACUGGUUUUGAUGCGAAGGCGCAAGAGAUCCUUGGUCAAGUCGAGGAAGGGGCUUUUGGCGUGAGAAGACCAAGAAGAAGCGCGGAACAUACAGGGGUGGACAAAUUGACCUACAAACUCACUCGAUCAAGUUUGACAAUUCGGAUGACGAGUGACCGCUUAGCUUCACCAAAGAUGGGAGUUGGGAGAAGUCUACUGCAUUUAGCAGCUGACCAUUUCUAUGGACAAUUACCCGAUCAGUCUUGCUCUGGUUGGAAGGUUUUGGAGGUGAGGUGGUGCUACGUGGUAAACUAUCGAAGUCAUAUGUCGAGUGCGAGGAAUCUGAAACUUUAAUGAAGAAACACGGUCUAGCGAUUUUCACAUACUUUCACAUCCAGAUUUCAUAUUUUUUGAGAACCUUUAAUAGUAUCCGUGGAGUAAGAGACACCAUAAUCUGAGAGGUUCCCUUGCAUUAUCAAAGCACGAGAAAUUGAUCCCAAAUAAGUAAAGACCAGGAGUGAACAAAAAAAGGUACGAAAUAGCAGCUACACAAAAUUCUGUGUUGCACCUGCCGUCCAGUCUGUUGUUUAUAUGGGAUUCUCAAAUAUCAGUGUUGAGUGCUUGAUCACACAUCCAAUGAGGUCAAUUUCACUCUUGCUUGAAUGGCCAAUCUUCUGUUUGAAACUGUGGUAACUUGUAAUGGGAUUCUGGCUAUGUUCCUUUUUUUAAUUGCAAUUUCUACCUUUUGGGAACAAAGACUAGGUUCACUGCUUCUACUCAGCAAUACUAUUUUAGCUUAUGUAACAGCAAGGUUGUAAACAACAUACUGUGAUCAUUUCAAUGCCUGUGCUGAGGCAUACUAUAUUAGUUUUACUUCAUAUUGCUC